rnacentral:rRNA from 1 species
UACGAAGGGGGCUAGCGUUGCUCGGAAUCACUGGGCGUAAAGCGCACGUAGGCGGAUUUUUAAGUCAGGGGUGAGAUCCUGGAGCUCAACUCCAGAACUGCCUUUGAUACUGGGAAUCUCGAGUCCGGAAGAGGUGAGUGGAACUGCGAGUGUAGAGGUGAAAUUCGUAGAUAUUCGCAAGAACACCAGUGGCGAAGGCGGCUCACUGGUCCGGUACUGACGCUGAGGUGCGAAAGCGUGGGGAGCAAACAGG